AAGAGUUUGCUGGACCCCAUCCACCAGUUUCUGAUUCAGUACUUCAGAGAGCAACUAGAGGGGAUUAUUUCAAGGAUACCUGCUUCAGCCUCUCAGGAGGAGGACUUGGACACUGCUUUGCUCAUAUGAAGACGCUCUGGUGCCUUUUCUCUCUCCUAUUGGGCAUGACUCAGCUGACCUAACUGGGGCUGAUUUUUAAGAGCAAAUAUCCAAAAGAUGAAAUGGAAGCCAUCAGUUUCAUAAGGAUUGGAUAUAGAAACUGGCACAGCAUCAUUUCCACCAUAUUCCCUUGGCCAAGCAGUGAUGUAAUCUGGAAUAAAGGGAGAGAUUCAGACAAUCUCGAGAAAGGAAUGGAAACCCACUCCAGUACUCUUGUCUGGGAAAUCCCAUGAACAGAGGAACCUGGGGGGCUACAGUACAGAGGGU